rnacentral:tRNA from 1 species
GUGGGGGUAGCCAAGCUUGGCCAACGGCGCAGGACUUAAGAUCCUGUCCUUAGUGGUUCGGGGGUUCAAAUCCCCUCCCCCACA